rnacentral:rRNA from 1 species
CGCACGGGUGCGUAACGCGUAUGCAACCUACCAUCAACAGGGGGAUAACACUGAGAAAUUGGUACUAAUACCCCAUAAUAUCUCAUGCGGCAUCGCAUGGGGUUGAAAACUCCGGUGGUUGAUGAUGGGCAUGCGUUGUAUUAGCUGGUUGGUGAGGUAACGGCUCACCAAGGCGACGAUACAUAGGGGGACUGAGAGGUUAACCCCCCACAUUGGAACUGAGACACGGUCCAAACUCCUACGGGAGGCAGCAG